UGAAUGCUCCUGGCGUGUCUCUGGGGACUAGACAUUAGAGCAGAAGUCAGCCCUCCGUGGCCUCCUCUGACGGUGCGGUUUCUCCUUUGAGGAUGGAGUUCUCUCACAGACCCUUUGGGAAGUGGGGCUGAUGUGGAAAGUGAGAUUUCUGGGUGUUUGUGCAGCCAACCAUGGAACACCAUCCCCCAUACUUGCUCCUUUGAGCAACCAUCAUGGCACCAGAUCUGGAGUAUUUCCAGAAAACUCAUUGGAUUGCUUCUAUUACACACCUCCCCCAUCGCUGCACCCUGGGAGGUUACUUGGAAGCUGAUCUCAGAGGACAAAAAUUCGGACUCCAGAAGGCUAUACUAUUACCUGAGUAACCAGGAAGUACAUUGUAAGCAACUUUCAAAACUCUGGAAUUGACAGAGACAUCUCACCGCCUGGACAGUCACCCAAAGUUCUUAUACUGUUGGGGCAUCCAUCUUCAGCCCACAGGUACGUAGCAUCCAGCAGACUUUUCAAUGAAGUGAGACAUUUGAAAGACUGUUCGCCUAUAUCAUCAGUUUGCCAGUCACUUUCUUCUGUGUCCUGCAGAAUGUCUGGCAGUUUCUUCUGUGAGGUAUGAACCCUGCAGCACCGUCCUGCCUUGUUUUGACAAAGUUGUGACACCAGAUGUUUGUGAUCCCCAGUACUGGGGAGACAGAGGCAGAAACCUGGUGAGACCACCUAAGGACUACCUAGAUACACCUGUCUCAAAACCGAAACAAAACCAGACAAAGGUCAAAGUCAACUGGUGAUGCCGUCUGUGUGGACUUCAUCCUGACAGAGAUGAAAGGACACUUUCCUCAACCUCAGAGAGUGACAGAAACCUCAGCCAUUUUAUCAGUCCUAAUGUGGAAAGUGCUCAAAGAGGAACCUGUGUCCUGGAACUCAGCCGAGAGUAGAAUCCUUUCUCCCAGCAGUGGAACCAGUGGGCAUCCCGGGUCAUCAACAGCGUGUCUAGGAGAGUUAGGGUGCUCCUCACCGUAGAACCGUGGGCCGUGGCUUUGCUCUCCAACAGUGUCAUGGGAAAGCAACAGUUUGAAACUUUAGAGCUAACUUCAGAAGUAGAGGAGCAACCGAACAUUCACAGUAUUGUGGUCUUGAGGAAUGUCUGGUGGUAGUUUUCCAAAUUAUUCUCUGUAUGUACAGUUAGUGUAACCACCUAUUACCUUGUUAUUACUAGAUUCUUCUGAGAUUAAGGCCAGCAACGUCUAGUGAGUGUGUGUCCACAGGCUGUGACAGGCAAUGACAAGCAGCAAAGGGAACUGCGCUCAUGGCCAAUACAUAAAUAAAUAAAUACAUAAAUAAAUGGGAA